GCUGGCAGUUGGGGUCGUGACAAGCGCCUCCUUUCUAGGAAUGUGAAAGUAAAAACACUGCAACUUUGCCUCAAAACAGCCAAGCGGUUCAGGAAAACUCGCAUCUUCUGUUAAGAGUUCUUAGACAGCCUUCGUGCAGUUGAAAGGAAGAUGGAACGCAAGAUAUACAACCUACUUGACCAAUUUAGACUGCAGAUGUACUAUAAGAAAUUUAUUGAAAUGGGAGUGAAAGAUGAACGAGAUUUUCUAGACAGUAUUGAUGAUGACACCUUGAACGCUGUUGGUUUAACUCAUGUGGAAAAGCGACGAUUUUCGAGCAUGCAGGCAAAAAUUCGUAAGCUGGGAAACUCAGCAGCCCUCUCAGGCUCUGCGAAGGUCUUGAAGAAACCAAGUGAAGCAUACCAUCUGAUGUACAGAUUUCCAAAAUGUCCAGAGACCAGAACGAUCAGCGAUCUUGAUCCAUCCCAGAAUACACUCGAGGAUCUGAUGCUACGAAUUCAUCAUCAGGAGACCAUUAGCAACGAUCUGGCUGUGUGUCUUUAUUCAGCUGAGGGUUUGCCCUUAACAGAUGACCCUUUCUUCAACACAUGGUGUUUGAAUGAAAGGCACAUUGAAAAUGGAGCUGAAAUUUAUGCCAUAUUCACACCUAAGGCAAACCUGCAGGUCCCAGUUUACACAAUCCCAGAUUCUGAUCUUGCUGAUGGAGAUGAUAAUGUUCGAUGCCACAUCAUGCUUAAGGGGGACUUUGAAGUGAACGUUGACCUGACCACAGACACACUGCGACAUCUGAGAAACAAGCUGUCGCACGAAAGUGGAAUACCUGCACGGGUCCUGCAUUUUAAAAAUAUUACAGAAGGAUUCACAGAAGUCUUGGAGAAAGCUGGCAUCAAUAGCCAGUCAGUUGUACAAUUUUACCUGUCAUCAUCUGAAGCAGACACACCAGAUUUCCAAACGUUCUUCACAAGUGAUGUUCGUCCUUCAAUACAACAGUCACAGAAGGGGAUGAGUGUUUUCUUCUCAACAUUACUUGCCAUUAACAUGAAGCAGUCUGGAGAAGGAUUUAAAAAAGUGCUGGGCUACGUACGACACCUCACUGGCUGUAAUGCUUUGGCUCAAAGUUUGCAUCAUCUUAUGGUCAGGAAAGAAACUCUUACAAGAAUUCAAAAGGUGAUGUAUACCCAUAAUCGGGACAGAACUUUUCAGAGAUAG
ensembl:lncRNA